GCCUUUGUGGUGUAGUGAAUAGCACGCUCGGCCCGUAUUCGAGAGGACCGUGGUUCGAGUCCCGGCGAGGACA
rnacentral:tRNA from 1 species